CCAAUAGCGUAUAUUAAAGUUGCUGCAGUUAAAAAGCUCGUAGUUGAAUUUCGGGACCAAAUAUGUCGGUCGUGCUUCGGUACGUACUGUCAUUAUUGGUUUCUCCCUUCUGAAGAACCUUGAUGUCAUUAAUUUGGUGUCUUGGGGAAUCAGGACUGUUACUUUGAAAAAAUUAGAGUGUUUAAAGCAGGCUCGCGCUUGAAUACAUUAGCAUGGAAUAAUGAAAUAGGACGUUUGAUUCUAUUUUGUUGGUUUCUAGGAUCGACGUAAUGAUUAAUAGGGAUAGUUGGGGGCAUUAGUAUUCAAUUGUCAGAGGUGAAAUUCUUGGAUUUAUUGAAGACUAACUACUGCGAAAGCAUUUGCCAAGGAUGUUUUCAUUAAUCAAGAACGAAAGUUAGGGGAUCGAAGACGAUCAGAUACCGUCGUAGUCUUAACCAUAAACUAUGCCGACUAGGGAUCGGAUGAUGUUAAUUUUUUAAUGACUCAUUCGGCGCCUUACG
rnacentral:rRNA from 1 species